UACGGAGGGGGCUAGCGUUGUUCGGAAUUACUGGGCGUAAAGCGCACGUAGGCGGCUUUGUAAGUUAGAGGUGAAAGCCCGGGGCUCAACCCCGGAAUUGCCUUUAAGACUGCAUCGCUAGAAUUGUGGAGAGGUAAGUGGAAUUCCGAGUGUAGAGGUGAAAUUCGUAGAUAUUCGGAAGAACACCAGUGGCGAAGGCGACUUACUGGACACAUAUUGACGCUGAGGUGGACGAAAGCGUGGGGAGCAAACAGG
rnacentral:rRNA from 1 species